rnacentral:rRNA from 1 species
AACGUAGGAGGCGAGCGUUAUCCGGAUUUACUGGGCGUAAAGCGCGUGUAGGCGGCUUGGAAAGUUGGAUGUGAAAGCUCCCGGCUAAACUGGGAGAGGUCGUUCAAAACUUCCAGGCUUGAGGAUGGGAGAGGGAGGUGGAAUUCCGGGUGUAGUGGUGAAAUGCGUAGAUAUCCGGAGGAACACCAGUGGCGAAAGCGGCCUCCUGGCCCAGCCCUGACGCUCAGACGCGAAAGCUAGGGUAG